UACGUAGGGUGCAAGCGUUGUCCGGAAUUAUUGGGCGUAAAGAGCUCGUAGGCGGUCUGUCGCGUCGGCUGUGAAAUCCCGGAGCUCAACUCCGGGUCUGCAGUCGAUACGGGCAGACUGGAGUUCGGCAGGGGAGACUGGAAUUCCUGGUGUAGCGGUGGAAUGCGCAGAUAUCAGGAGGAACACCGGUGGCGAAGGCGGGUCUCUGGGCAGUAACUGACGCUGAGGAGCGAAAGCGUGGGGAGCGAACAGG
rnacentral:rRNA from 1 species